rnacentral:rRNA from 1 species
AUUGAACGCUGGCGGCAUGCCUUACACAUGCAAGUCGAACGGUAACAGGUUAAGCUGCCGAGUGGCGAACGGGUGAGUCAUGUAUCGGAACGUGCCCAGUCGUGGGGGAUAACUGCUCGAAAGAGCAGCUAAUACCGCAUACGACCUGAGGGUGAAAGCGGGGGAUCGCAAGACCUCGCGCGAUUGGAGCGGCCGAUAUCAGAUUAGGUAGUUGGUGAGGUAACGGCUCACCAAGCCGACGAUCUGUAGCUGGUCUGAGAGGACGACCAGCCACACUGGGACUGAGACACGGCCCAGACUCCUACGGGAGGCAGCAGUGGGGAAUUUUGGACAAUGGGCGCAAGCCUGAUCCAGCCAUGCCGCGUGCGGGAAGAAGGCCUUCGGGUUGUAAACCGCUUUUGUCAGGGAAGAAAAGGUUCUGGCUAAUACCUGGGACUCAUGACGGUACCUGAAGAAUAAGCACCGGCUAACUACGUG